rnacentral:misc_RNA from 1 species
UCUUUUUUUUUUAUUUUUUUUU